ACGAGGGGUGUAUACGUGUCGACGUCACCGCUCGGUUUUUACUGUGAACGCCAAAAUAAAACGAGUAAAAACUUUUCUAUUGCACUCAUAAGUCGAAACACAUGGCAGCGAGGGACUAAGGCGGUGAGAAAGCCGGGUUUCUCCGCGGUGUGAUGGUCGUCGGGACUCGGCAUUGUUCGCGCAGCAGAGGAGGCUUUUUCUCCCUUUCUUUCCUCCAGCGGUCGCACGGCGAGAGGCAACAGCGACGUUAGCCGACCUGCUAACGUCAAGUUGGGAGAAAGUGGAGAGAAGACAGCGGCUAAACGGGGGAGCUUAUCCGCCUACACAGACCUAUGCGACGGAUAGCAGGUGGGAGAUGGAGACGAGAGACUUGA